CCUACGGGUGGCAGCAGUGAGGAAUAUUGGUCAAUGGACGAGAGUCUGAACCAGCCAAGUAGCGUGAAGGAUGACUGCCCUAUGGGUUGUAAACUUCUUUUAUAUGGGAAUAAAAUGUUCCACGUGUGGGAUUUUGUAUGUACCAUAUGAAUAAGGAUCGGCUAACUCCGUGCCAGCAGCCGCGGUAAUACGGAGGAUCCGAGCGUUAUCCGGAUUUAUUGGGUUUAAAGGGAGCGUAGGUGGAUUGUUAAGUCAGUUGUGAAAGUUUGCGGCUCAACCGUAAAAUUGCAGUUGAAACUGGCAGUCUUGAGUACAGUAGAGGUAGGCGGAAUGCGUGGUGUAGCGGUGAAAUGCUGAGAUAUCACGAAGAACUCCGAUUGCGAAGGCAGUUCACUGGACUGCAACUGACACUGAGGCUCGAAAGUGUGGGUAUCAAACAGGAGUAGAUACCCUAGUAGUC
rnacentral:rRNA from 1 species